rnacentral:rRNA from 1 species
AUGGGGUCGCUGGGGAAGGAGGCGGCGUCGGCGGGGGAGCGGGUGGUGCUGGCGGUGAACGGCGCGCGGCACGAGGCCGCCGGCGUCGACCCGUCGAUGACGCUGCUGGAGUUCCUCCGCACUCGCACGCCCGUCCGGGGGCCCAAGCUCGGCUGCGGCGAAGGUGGAUGCGGCGCAUGCGUAGUUCUCAUUUCCAAGUAUGAUCCGGCCACCGACGUGGUGACCGAGUUCUCGGCGAGCUCCUGCCUGACGCUCCUUGGCAGCCUCAACUACUGCUCGGUCACCACCAGCGAGGGCAUUGGCAACACCCGCGAUGGCUACCACCCCGUCCAGCAGCGCCUCGCUGGCUUCCAUGCCUCCCAGUGCGGUUACUGCACUCCCGGCAUGUGCAUGUCCAUCUUCUCUGCCCUCGUCAAGGCCGACAAGACCGGCGACCCCGCCCCAACACUGGGAUUCUCCAAGCUCACCUGCUCCGAGGCCGAGCAUGCUGUCUCCGGCAACCUGUGCCGCUGCACCGGCUACCGGCCCAUCGUCGACACGUGCAAGAGCUUCGCCGCCGACGUCGACCUCGAGGACCUCGGCCUCAACUCAUUCUGGAAGAAAGGCACCGACCCUGCCGACGUCGGCAAGCUGCCAGAAUACUCCAGCGGCGCCGUCUGCACCUUCCCUGAGUUCCUCAAGUCCGAGAUCAAGGGUCAAAUGAAGGAUGCUCCAGUGGUGAACGCCGGCGAAGAUGGCUGGUACCGUCCCAAGAGCAUCGAGGAGCUCCAUACCCUCUUUGACUGCAAAUGGCUCGACGAAAACUCCGUCAAGAUCGUGGCGUCAAACACUGGUGCCGGGGUGUACAAGGAUCAAGACUUAUAUAAAAAAUACAUCGACAUCAAAGGGAUACCAGAACUUUCGGUCAUCGACAGGAGCAACAAGGGGGUGGAGAUUGGGGCAGCCGUGUCCAUCUCCAAAGCCAUCGAGAUCUUCUCCGAUGGCACACCGGUGUUUAAAAAGAUCGCCAAUCAUCUCAGCAAGGUGGCCUCGCCGUUCAUCCGCAACAUGGGGACGAUCGGCGGGAAUGUAAUCAUGGCGCAGCGGCUGCCAUUCGCUUCAGACAUCGUCACUGUUCUUCUUGCCGCGGGUUCGACGGUCACAAUCCAGACUGCUUCCAAGAUGCUGUCCCUAACACUGGAGGAGUUCUUGGAGCAGCCUCCCUGUGAUGCCAAGACCAUACUGCUCAGCAUAUUUGUUCCUGAUUGGGGUUCAGACAAUGUCAUCUUCGAGACAUCUCGUGCAGCUCCCAGACCAUUCGGCAAUGCUGUCUCCUAUGUGAAUUCUGCAUUCCUGGCAAGGACUUCAGGGGAUGCAGCAUCAGGGGAGCUCAUUAUCGACGAAAUCUGCCUAGCAUUUGGUGCUUACGGCGUCGAUCACGCCACUCGGGCUCCGAAAGUUGAGGAAUUCCUGAAGGGGAAAUCAGUGAGUGCACCGGUUAUACUUGAAGCAGUUCAGUUGCUGAAAGAUGUUAUCUCGCCGUCAGAAGGCACCACACACCCUGAGUACAGAGUCAGCUUGGCUGUCAGUUUUUUAUUCAGUUUCCUUUCUGCACUUGGUAACAACCUGAAUGCUCCCAAUGGAUCAUGUCCUAAUGACCCCGAGAAGCAUGGUAAGGUUGUCAGCGAUGACUUGCCGAUUCGUUCAAGGCAAGAACUGGUUUUCAAUGACGAAUACAAACCUGUCGGCAAGCCGAUCACGAAAUCCGGGGCCGAGUUGCAAGCUUCUGGGGAGGCUGUGUAUGUUGAUGACAUCCCUGCUCCCAAGGAUUGCCUCUAUGGAGCAUUUAUCUACAGCACACACCCUCAUGCCCAUAUAAAAAGUGUCAACUUCAGAUCAUCUUUGGCUUCAGAAAAGGUCAUCACAGUUAUCUCCGCAAAGGACAUUCCUGCCGGUGGAAAAAAUGUUGGAUCCGGCUGGGCGUUUCUAGGAAACGAAGCUCUUUUCGGCGAUCCGGUUUCUGAAUUUGCUGGUCAAAAUAUUGGCAUCGUGAUCGCUGAAACACAGAAGUAUGCCUAUAUGGCAGCGAAGCAAGCUAUCAUUGAGUAUAGCACCGAGAAUCUUGAGCCGCCAAUUCUGACAAUAGAGGAUGCCAUCCAACAUGACAGCUACAUUCCUGUUCUCCCAUUUUUUGCUCCUCAGCCAAUUGGGGACUUCGACCAAGGGAUGUGUGAAGCAGAUCACAAGAUCCUAUCAGGAGAGGUGAAACUUGAAUCACAGUACUACUUCUACAUGGAGACGCAGACUGCAUUGGCCAUCCCUGACGAAGACAACUGCAUCACCGUCUAUGUCUCGACGCAGCUACCCGAGAUCACGCAGAAUGUCGUCGCGGACCUCCUUGGCCUUCCCUACCACAAUGUUCGCAUCAUCACCAGGAGAGUUGGAGGUGGCUUUGGUGGAAAGGGAAUGAAAGGAACCCAUGCUGCAUGUGCGUGUGCGCUUGCUGCAUUCAAGCUUAGGCGCCCUGUCCGGAUGUACCUCGACCGGAAGACGGACAUGAUCGUGGCAGGAGGGCGUCACCCGAUGAAGGCGAAGUACUCCGUCGGGUUCAAGUCGGACGGCACGCUCACGGCGCUGCACGUCGAUCUCGGCAUCAACGCCGGGAUAUCACCGGACUUGAGCCCGUUGAUCCCGGCUAACACCAUCGCUUCUCUGAAGAAGUAUAACUGGGGCGCCCUGGCCUUUGACAUCAAGUUGUGCAAGACGAACAUGUCGUCCAAGUCGGCGGUGCGGGCGCCCGGCGACGUGCAGGGUUCCUUCAUCGCCGAGGCCAUCAUCGAGCACGUCGCGUCUGUGCUCGGGUCCGACACCAAUUCGGUCCGGAGAAAGAACCUCCACAGCGUCGAGAGCCUCACGAAGUUCUACAGCGACUCUGCGGGAGACGCCCCGACAUACAGCCUCGUGGACAUCUUUGACAAGUUGGCCUCGUCGCCGGAGUACCGGAGCAGGGCAGAGGCUGUUGAGCGGUUCAAUGGUGGGAGCAGGUGGAAGAAGCGCGGCAUCUCGUGUGUGCCGAUCACCUAUGAAGUGACCCUCCGGCCAACGCCGGGGAAGGUGUCCAUCCUGAACGACGGCUCGAUCGCCGUGGAGGUUGGCGGCGUGGAGAUCGGGCAAGGGCUGUAUACCAAGGUGAAGCAAAUGACGGCAUUCGGGCUAGGGGAGCUCUGCCCCGACGCCGACAGACUCCUUGACAAAGUGCGUGUCAUCCAGGCCGACACGCUGAGCAUGAUCCAGGGCGGCUUCACCGGCGGGAGCACCACCUCGGAGAGCAGCUGCGAGGCGGUCAGGCAGGCGUGCACCGUGCUCGUCAAGCGCCUCAAGCCCAUCAAAGAGGGCCUCGAGGCGAAGUCCGGUGCGCCGGUGCCAUGGAGCACCCUGAUCGCCCAAGCGAACAUGGCAAGCGUGAACCUGUCGGCGCACGCCUUCUGGACGCCAGACCCAGCCUUUGUAAAAUACAUUAACUAUGGAGCCGCCGUAAGCGAGGUGGAAAUCGACGUGCUGACUGGGGGCACGACGAUCCUGAGGAGCGACCUUGUGUACGACUGUGGGCAGAGCCUGAACCCGGCGGUGGACCUCGGCCAGGUGGAGGGUGCGUUCGUGCAAGGGGUGGGUUUCUUCACGAACGAGGACUAUGCGAGGAACGCCGACGGGCUGGUGGUGAACGACGGCACCUGGACGUACAAGAUCCCUACGGUUGACACCAUCCCUAAGCAGUUCAACGUGGAGCUCAUUAACAGCGCGCGCGACCAGAAGCGCGUGCUCUCCUCCAAGGCGUCCGGCGAGCCGCCGCUGCUGCUGGCUGCGUCGGUGCACUGCGCCAUGCGGGAGGCCAUCAGGGCGGCCAGGAAGGAAUUCUCGGCCAACUCGCCGCUGACGUUCCAGAUGGAUGUGCCGGCGUCAAUGGCCGACGUCAAGGAGCUGUGCGGCCUCGACGUCGUCGAGAAGCACCUUCAGAGCCUCACUUCCGCCGCCGCCAGCGCCGCAGUGAAGGCGUGA